rnacentral:rRNA from 1 species
AGAAUCAACGCUGGCGGCGUGCCUAACACAUGCAAGUCGAACGAGAAAGGGGAGCAAUCCCUGAGUAAAGUGGCGCACGGGUGAGUAACACGUGACUAACCUACCCUGGAGUGGGGGAUAACUGAGGGAAACCUUAGCUAAUACCGCAUAACACCUACGGGUCAAAGGAGCAAUUCGCUUUGGGAGGGGGUCGCGGCCGAUUAGUUAGUUGGCGGGGUAAUGGCCCACCAAGACAGUGAUCGGUAUCCGGCCUGAGAGGGCGCACGGACACACUGGAACUGAAACACGGUCCAGACUCCUACGGGAGGCAGCAGUGGGGAAUUUUGCGCAAUGGGGGAAACCCUGACGCAGCAACGCCGCGUGGAGGAUGAAGUACUUCGGUACGUAAAACUCCUUUCGAUCGGGACGAUAAUGACGGUACCGGAAGAAGAAGCCCCGGCUAACUUCGCGCCAGCAGCCGC